UACGAAGGGGGCUAGCGUUGUUCGGAUUUACUGGGCGUAAAGCGCACGUAGGCGGAUUGUUAAGUCAGGGGUGAAAUCCUGGAGCUCAGCUCCAGAACUGCCUUUGAUACUGGCAAUCUUGAGUCCGGAAGAGGUGAGUGGAACUCCUAGUGUAGAGGUGGAAUUCGUAGAUAUUAGGAAGAACACCAGUGGCGAAGGCGGCUCACUGGUCCGGUACUGACGCUGAGGUGCGAAAGCGUGGGGAGCAAACAGG
rnacentral:rRNA from 1 species